ACUACAUUACUAUAAAAAUACUAGAGCACAGCUGCUGAAGAGCUCCUGAAUUGAUUUUGAUUCCAUGAGUUUGUAUGUGGGUCAAACAUAUAUACCUACCUGCAACACCUACCUGGUAUGUACGAGGGUUCCUCAAAAAGGUUCCACACUUUUUUAAGCUCUAUUUCAAAAACAAAGUGUUACGGCCUAGUCUAGGUUAGGCUGCAACACAUAUAAGGAAAAUGGUAUAGUUAGGGGAAAAUAGACCACCAAGAACAAAAGAGUAAGUUUUAACCAAGUGUAUUUACAAUUGUGAGACAAAGCAAACCAGUAUACCUUCAGGAGUGACCCAGGCCAAAAUAACAAACAAAACACACACUAUCUAAUGUACCCACUAAAACUAGCUUCCCUAAAACAAAAGAAGAAUUAAAAUAAAAGACAAAGUACUUCCCUAACUCCCUACCUAACAUAAACAGAGCACAUAACAUAGAUGACAAACAAAAUGGCAGCCACUCCCUACCACUGGUGUACAAACAACAUAGCUAUAUACAAGUGAAUUAUUUACAUAGCAAUCUAAAUCCAAAUCAGUAAGCUUUCUCAGUAGUCACAAAUACAGGUAAAAUGGUCAUACACAGGCAACAAGGCAAUAGGCAACAGGCAAAUUUAAACAAGCAAAAGGCAAUGGGCAAAAAGGCAAACACACACAACAAGCUCCAAACAAAAGAGAGAGAGAGGCGGGGCUCCUCAGCUCCUUUUAAAGGUGAAUGGCAGAGAUGAAGACCUGGGGUGGAUCUGGAUCCAGGAGGGUGGGAGGUAGACUCUGGACUGGAUCCUGGAACAGAAACAUAUAUACAUAUACAUAUACAUAUACAACACAACAUUUUAUGGACAUGACACCUCCCCCCAUAAAGUUGAACUUUACAAAAGUUCAUUCAAGGGUCAUAACAACGUGACAAGGCAUCAGCUACAAUAUUUUCAGAGCCCUUUUUGUGAAGGAUAACCAAAUUAAAACCUUGAAUAAUUAGCGACCAGCGCAUAAGGCGUUGGUUUGUGUUUGACAUGCGUUGAAGAAAAACCAGGGGAUUGUGAUCUGUGUAAACUGUGAUGGGAACCAAACUACUACCUAAAUAAACCUCGAAAUGUUGCAAGGCGAGAAGAAGAGCUAAAGCCUCUUUCUCGAUGGUACUAUAAGCAAGUUGGUGUUUGAUGAAUUUUCGGGAGAAAUAACAAAUAGGAUGAUCAAUUUGGUGAUUGUCCUCUUGUAAUAGGACAGCGCCGGCACCCGUUUUGCUAGCGUCCACUUCCAUUUUAAACGGCUUAUCAAAAUCAGGUGUGGCAAGAACAGGAGAACUACUCAAUAAAGCCUUCAAGGAAUCAAAAGCAGAUUUGCAAGCAGAGGACCAGACAAACGGGACAUUCUUACCUAAAAGGUGCUGGGAAGGAGCUAAUAGCUUGGAUCUUUGCAUCAAGAGGUCGUACAGUACCAUUACCAACAGUUUUUCCAAGGAGCAUAUUCCAAUAUUGAGGCGACAGCUAACACCUUAGGCGAAGAAGGUGAGGGCAAAGACCCAGAAAGAUCGCCCGUAUCAAUGGAACUGCGAUCAAGGUAGGGUUUCAACAAAUUCACAUGACAUAUGCGAGUCUUACUACGGCGAUCUGGAGUUGCUAAUAUAUAGUUACUGUCAGUUUGCUUUUCAAUUAUUUUAUAGGGACCGGAGAAUCUGGUUUGCAAAGCGGAACCAGCAACAGGUGACCAGAGAGAUGGUGAUCAUGAGCCAAAGACAAAACUAAGGACCUGUAUGGAAGAGGAACCACAAUCUGUUUAACAGUCUCACAUUCACUGCUUGAACUUACAGGAGACCAGGACCUCAUCAAUACUCCAUCCUUAAUAAAGUAUUGUGAACGAC